GUUCUAACUUUUUUCUUUUUCUCCUUUCAGGAAGUUAUUACAGAAUCUUUUGAGCCAUCACUCUUCUUCUCGCACCAUAUCCUUGUUCCUUCUGAUCUAAAUUCUAAUGAGCAGGAGCAGAGGAUGCUGCAUCAUCUGGUGAUGGAAAAAUAGCGAAGGGUGGUCAAGCGAAGAAGAAGUCAAAGAAACGUCAUAGGUGAGUACACUCCCAACUGUGAUAUUAGAAUAUUUAUGUGGUAUAAUUUUUGUUAUGAUUGGAAGUUGGUA